rnacentral:rRNA from 1 species
AUUGAACGCUGGCGGCAGGCUUAACACAUGCAAGUCGAGCGGAGAUGAGGUGCUUGCACCUUAUCUUAGCGGCGGACGGGUGAGUAAUGCUUAGGAAUCUGCCUAUUAGUGGGGGACAACAUUCCGAAAGGAAUGCUAAUACCGCAUACGUCCUACGGGAGAAAGCAGGGGAUCUUCGGACCUUGCGCGAAUAGAUGAGCCUAAGUCGGAUUAGCUAGUUGGUGGGGUAAAGGCCUACCAAGGCGACGAUCUGUAGCGGGUCUGAGAGGAUGAUACGCCACACUGGGACUGAGACACGGCCCAGACGCCUACGGGAGGCAGCAGUGGGGAAUAUUGGACAAUGGGGGGAACCCUGAUCCAGCCAUGCCGCGUGUGUGAAGAAGGCCUUAUGGUUGUAAAGCACUUUAAGCGAGGAGGAGGCUACUGAGACUAAUACUCUUGGAUAGUGGACGUUACUCGCAGAAUAAGCACCGGCUAACUCUGUGCCAGCCGCCGCAGUAA